rnacentral:rRNA from 1 species
UGGCAUAAGCAAAAAUAGAAAAAACUUUCAGCAACGGAUCUCUUGGUUCUGGCAUCGAUGAAGAACGCAGCGAAAUGCGAUAAGUAAUGUGAAUUGCAGAAUUCAGUGAAUCAUCGAAUCUUUGAACGCACAUUGCGCCCGCCAGUAUU